ACACUAUAUAUGUAUAGAUAGAUGUCCACUUAGUGAAUUAUCGGCAUAGAAUUUGAACUUUUGGUCUCAAAAUGAAAGAUAUGAAAAUCCUCUUCGUUCUUUUGCUUAUUUUCUCAAUUGAUUUUGGAAAUCAAGUGCAAUUACUGGAGGCAAAACAAUGUUUUUAUGUUAUACCUGGUUAUUGUAAUACAUGGAAGAAUUUUGUUUGUGUAUUAACUUGCAAGGGUGUAUGCAAAUCAUUUUCUGCGCAUGGAGAAUGUCGCGACGACCGAGGUUGUCAUUGUCGUUGUUGUUGAUUAAAUUGUUAUAUACAACAAUGGAACAUUCAUUGUGUGAAAUUAUUAAAUAAGAACUAUAUUAAUAAAGUGUGGCUGCAUUGCAUAUUU